CUACGGGAUGCUCCAGUGAGGAAUAUUGCACAAUGGGGGGAACCCUGAUGCAGCAACGCCGCGUGGAGGAUGACGCAUUUCGGUGUGUAAACUCCUUUUAUAUGUCAAGGAAAUGACGGUAGCAUAUGAAUAAGCACCUGCUAACUCCGUGCCAGCAGCCGCGGUAAUACGGAGGGUGCAAGCGUUACUCGGAAUCACUGGGCGUAAAGGACGCGUAGGAGGGUUGGAAAGUCAGGUGUGAAAUCCUACAGCUUAACUGUAGAACUGCACUUGAAACUUCUAAUCUAGAGUAUGGGAGGGGGAGAUGGAAUUAGUGGUGUAGGGGUAAAAUCCGUAGAUAUCACUAGGAAUACCUAAAGCGAAGGCGAUCUCCUGGAACAUUACUGACGCUAAGGCGUGAAAGCGUGGGGAGCAAACAGGAUUAGAUACCCCAGUAGUC
rnacentral:rRNA from 1 species